rnacentral:rRNA from 1 species
GGUGGGGUAAUGGCCUACCAAGGCGGCGACGGGUAGCCGGACUGAGAGGUUGGUCGGCCACAUUGGGACUGAGAUACGGCCCAGACUCCUACGGGAGGCAGCAGUGGGGAAUAUUGCACAAUGGGCGCAAGCCUGAUGCAGCGACGCCGCGUGGGGGAUGACGGCCUUCGGGUUGUAAACUCCUUUCGCCAGGGACGAAGCGUUUUGUGACGGUACCUGGAGAAGAAGCACCGGCUAACUACGUGCCAGCAGCCGCGGUAAUACGUAGGGUGCAAGCGUUGUCCGGAAUUACUGGGCGUAAAGAGCUCGUAGGUGGUUUGUCACGUCGUCUGUGAAAUUCCACAGCUUAACUGUGGGCGUGCAGGCGAUACGGGCUGACUUGAGUACUGUAGGGGUAACUGGAAUUCCUGGUGUAGCGGUGAAAUGCGCAGAUAUCAGGAGGAACACCGAUGGCGAAGGCAGGUUACUGGGCAGUUACUGACGCUGAGGAGCGAAAGCAUGGGUAGCAAACAGGAUUAGAUACCCUGGUAGUCCAUGCCGUAAACGGUGGGCGCUAGGUGUAGGGACCUUUUGGGGUUUCUGUGCCGUAGCUAACGCAUUAAGCGCCC